UAGUGAGUUUGAUCCUGGCUCAGAACGAACGCUGGCGGCAUGCCUAACACAUGCAAGUCGAACGAGACCUUCGGGUCUAGUGGCGCACGGGUGCGUAACGCGUGGGAACCUGCCUUUAGGUUCGGAAUAACAGUGAGAAAUUACUGCUAAUACCGGAUAAUGUCUUCGGACCAAAGAUUUAUCGCCCAAGGAUGAGCCCGCGUAGGAUUAGCUAGUUGGUAGGGUAAAGGCCUACCAAGGCGACGAUCCUUAGCUGGUCUGAGAGGACGAUCGGCCACGACUGGGACUGAGACACGGCCCAGACUCCGUACGGGAGGCAGGC
rnacentral:rRNA from 1 species